AGUCGUACCUGCGGAUAAUCAGCUUUUUGAGUGUGAUUAUGUGGUUUAUGAGGAGUUUAACCGCCUUCAUGUAUUGCAUAUUUGUGCACUUGAAAGGGAAACGAUUGAAGUCAGUCGUACUUAUGGGUAAUCAGCCUUUUGGGUGUGAUUUUGUGGAGUGUGAGGAGUUAAACGCCUUCAUUGCCUGCAUAUUCGUGCACUUUGGGUGUACUUGCCCGUGUGUAAGUUAACAUCAAUUUUGGUGGUCAUAAAAUG
rnacentral:rRNA from 1 species